rnacentral:rRNA from 1 species
AGGGGUAACAGAGGUAGCUUGCUACUUGCUGACGACCGGCGCACGGGUGCGUAACGCGUAUACAAUCUACCUUUUGCUGAGGUAUAGCCCAGAGAAAUUUGGAUUAAUCCCUCAUAGUAUUAUUAUAUGGCAUCGUAUAAUAAUUAAAGGUUACGGCAAGAGAUGAGUAUGCGUUCUAUUAGCUAGAUGGUGUGGUAACGGCACACCAUGGCAACGAUAGAUAGGGGCCCUGAGAGGGGGACCCCCCACACUGGUACUGAGACACGGACCAGACUCCUACGGGAGGCAGCAGUGAGGAAUAUUGGGCAAUGGAGGCAACUCUGACCCAGCCAUGCCGCGUGCAGGAAGACUGCCCUAUGGGUUGUAAACUGCUUUUAUACAGGAAGAAACAGCUCUUCGCGAAAGAGCCUUGACGGUACUGUAAGAAUAAGGAUCGGCUAACUCCGUGCCAGCAGCCGCGGUAAUACGGAGGAUCCAAGCGUUAUCCGGAAUCAUUGGGUUUAAAGGGUCCGUAGGUGGAUAAUUAAGUCAGAGGUGAAAUCCUGCAGCUCAACUGUAGA